rnacentral:lncRNA from 1 species
GUCUGAGACUUGUUGGUAAGACAGAGUUUGGGAUUCACUGCUGUUACAAAUAGUAAGGAGAAUUUAUUAAAAAAGAUAUAAUGCAAUAGAGAAACAACUGAUAACUUAUAAGGGGUAUACUAUAUACAUGGUAUAUAUCAAUGAAUCAACAUUAGUAAAUACACAGCGAAAAAAAAAGAAACACAUACAAUUGCAAGAUGGCCCCUAUAUGGUUUUUUGAACCUCAUGGAAAAUUGACCAUCAGGUCAAAAUACAGCUAUGGCAAUUUAACCCCCUUGUAUGGAAAAUUGAACAUUGGGGUAAAAUAUAGAUUUUGGCUUACAAAAAAUGUAUAUCUCUGAAAACAAAGCAUUUAGAGCAAAUCUGACAUGGGGUAAAAUUGUUUAACCAAAUAUUAUGAAACUUACACACCCUGAUAAUAUCAACUAAAUGCAGAUCAAGUACAAAUUUGGGUAGGUCACUUUUACUGUUCUGGAGUUAUUUCCCUUAUUAUAACAUUAUACCUAUGCAAGAGGGGGCAUCAUCUGUGUCCCAUGGAGAUAAAAAAAAAAAAUUAUGAAAAUGGACAAAUCUGACAUUUUGAUAAACCAAAUAUUUAUAGUGAAUCUAGUGUUUUAUUUAGAGAUGUCUAAAAGGAUGGAACAUCAUGAUCCGGCAUGUAUUACAGCUGAUUUCCUUAUGCUUGCAAAGUAAAAC